rnacentral:lncRNA from 1 species
CCUCUAUAGUGACCUCAGGUUAUUGUAAAUCUGUUGCUUGUUUGCGUUUUCUAUAUUUUUGAAGUUUAAGUGGUACAUUAAUCAUUUUGAGAGUUUUUACAGGAAAGAAGGUUAACAACUUUAAAAAUCUUUUCAUCCUAUAGCCCACUGUGUUGCACUGAAGCUGUCAAAAUCUGCACAUGGAUUAUCUGAACACGGGCUUUCAGAUGAGUCUGGCUUUUUCAUAUUUUCAAACUGAAAAGCCUAGCCUGGGAUAAAAGACAAAAACAAGGCAAAGGAAAGCCGAAGACUCUAUAUUGUACAAGAAGGCCCUUCUUCCAAGCCAGAUGGCCAAGGCACUGGCAACACAAGCUGGCGCAGCAGAGGACAUGUGGGAAAACAGGCAGCUCGGUCCUGGAGGAAAGCGAAACAAGAGCUCUACAGUGCUUGCAUUUAUCGAGAGAAGACACACAGCCCAGCCUUGCAUAAAUAAUGGCACUGGGCCAAGUACAGCGGAGGUGGCUGCCAGCACAACUCCAUUGAAGUCAAAGGAAUCGCACCAUGGUGGUCUACAGAUUAAGCAUAUCCUCUUAUGGAGAGCCCAGGGUAUACGUGUCACGUACCACAUAGGAGUUCAAAUGCGAAGUGGUAAAUUCAGCUUGCUACAUGUCAGAAAUGGCUCUACUCCAUCAUGACAGUCUGGUUGGUACUGCCCAAGAAGCGGUAAAACUGUGAUUGGAGCUGAACCAAGCAGUGGGAGAACUUCUUGACCUAGCUUUGCUGCCAGGUAACUGCUUGUAUAACCAUACCAUUAACAUACUGUUUAUGCCUCUGUUGUACAAGACUUAUUAGAUAGCUGACAGGUAAUAAAAUGAGGCUCUUAAAAGGUUAGGAGUUGGGC